rnacentral:rRNA from 1 species
GACGAACGCUGGCGGCGUGCUUAACACAUGCAAGUCGAACGAAGAGCGACGGAAGCUUGCUUCUAUCAAUCUUAGUGGCGAACGGGUGAGUAACGCGUAAUCAACCUGCCCUUCAGAGGGGGACAACAGUUGGAAACGACUGCUAAUACCGCAUACGAUCUAAUCUCGGCAUCGAGGAUAGAUGAAAGGUGGCCUCUACAUGUAAGCUAUCACUGAAGGAGGGGAUUGCGUCUGAUUAGCUAGUUGGAGGGGUAACGGCCCACCAAGGCGAUGAUCAGUAGCCGGUCUGAGAGGAUGAACGGCCACAUUGGGACUGAGACACGGCCCAGACUCCUACGGGAGGCAGCAGUGGGGAAUCUUCCGCAAUGGACGAAAGUCUGACGGAGCAACGCCGCGUGAGUGAUGACGGCCUUCGGGUUGUAAAGCUCUGUUAAUCGGGACGAAAGGCCUUUUUGCGAAUAGUGAGAAGGAUUGACGGUACCGGAAUAGAAAGCCACG